rnacentral:rRNA from 1 species
UACGAAGGGGGCUAGCGUUGUUCGGAAUUACUGGGCGUAAAGGGCGCGUAGGCGGUCUUGUAAGUCAGAUGUGAAAACCCCGGGCUCAACCCGGGAAUAGCAUUUGAUACUGCGAGGCUUGAGUCCGGGAGAGGAUGGCGGAAUUCCCAGUGUAGAGGUGAAAUUCGUAGAUAUUGGGAAGAACACCGGUGGCGAAGUCGGCCAUCUGGACCGGCACUGACGCUAAGGCGCGAAAGCGUGGGGAGCAAACAGG